rnacentral:rRNA from 1 species
GAUGAACGCUGGCGGCGUGCCUAAUACAUGCAAGUCGAGCGAACAGACGAGGAGCUUGCUCCUCUGACGUUAGCGGCGGACGGGUGAGUAACACGUGGAUAACCUACCUAUAAGACUGGGAUAACUUCGGGAAACCGGAGCUAAUACCGGAUAAUAUAUUGAACCGCAUGGUUCAAUAGUGAAAGACGGUUUUGCUGUCACUUAUAGAUGGAUCCGCGCCGCAUUAGCUAGUUGGUAAGGUAACGGCUUACCAAGGCAACGAUGCGUAGCCGACCUGAGAGGGUGAUCGGCCACACUGGAACUGAGACACGGUCCAGACUCCUACGGGAGGCAGCAGUAGGGAAUCUUCCGCAAUGGGCGAAAGCUUGACGGAGCAACGCCGCGUGAGUGAUGAAGGUCUUCGGAUCGUAAAACUCUGUUAUUAGGGAAGAACAAAUGUGUAAGUAACUAUGCACGUCUUGACGGUACCUAAUCAGAAGGCCACGGCUAACUACGU